UUAGGAAACUAUUUAAAAAAAUAUUCAAACAAAACUGACACAACUAAAACUCACACCGAUUUACCCUUGACCAAUUUUAAUAAAAUUAAAAUAACGAGGUGUAACUUGAGCCGUUAAAUCCAAUAAAUUGCUAAUGUUGAAACUCUUUGUAACAUUAAAAUCGACCUUGCCAUCUAACUGUUUUAUGGCAAAAGUCGGAAAACCCCGGCAUUAUUAUGUAAACGAAUCCACGACAUUGCUACGAAUGGCACAGCUGAUUUCGACAUAAUAAGUUACGUACCUACUUAUAAUG